UACAGAGGGUGCGAGCGUUAUUCGGAAUUACUGGGCGUAAAGCGUGCGUAGACGGUUAUUUAAGUCGGAUGUGAAAGCCCCGGGCUCAACCUGGGAAUUGCAUUCGAGACUGAAUAGCUAGGGUGCGGUAGAGGGAAGCGGAAUUUCCGGUGUAGCGGUGAAAUGCGUAGAUAUCGGAAGGAACAUCAGUGGCGAAAGCGGCUUCCUGGACCAGCACCGACGUUCAGGCACGAAAGCGUGGGGAGCAAACAGG
rnacentral:rRNA from 1 species